CCUCCUGAUGACCAGGAGAGAAGUCAUACUCUCAGAAGCAGACUGGUAUCUUUAAAAAUCCACAGGACAAUAAAAAUGCUGUGGAACAUCAAAAAUGUGCUAGGAUGAAAAGAAUGAUACCGAAAACCCUAUCUGCUGAUAAUUAUUUUCUUCUACAGCACCGAUCUUGGUUUCCUCUUGUAUUAAAUGGUCCAGGAAAAUUGCUUUAAAAAGACUCCUGGCAGCCUCUUCUUUCUGCCUACUCUGAAGUCUCCUUCUUGUGUCAUGAAAUGAGCUCCUUUGUCUGUGGCUCAUCUUCUUAUGUGGCACCACCCAGAUUUCUGCUUCUGCCCUCUUCCCAUAUCAUGGAGGAUGUAAGAGUCCGUUUUGGAAAGAGACUGUGGCAAUUCAGGAUAUGUUGUUUGGAAAGAUAAAAGAUAGCAAGCACAACUGAAGUACGUAAAAUGCAACUUCAUAAUUCCAUCUUCUAGAGGACUCCCAUCCAAUCCCACCAUUACACAGCAUCACCUUCUUUGGAUGAAGACCGGCCUUUGGUGUAGUUGGUGGUGGUUCAUUUCGCUUGUUCCACGAUCUCUUCUGUUCCACAUUAUUAUACAGUAACCACUUUUCAUCGCCCAUCAUAAUUUGUUUUAAAAACGGAACAGUUUUGUUACAUUUCAAUAGAGAAUUGCAUGUGGAAAUACAGUCAAAAAAGUUUUUUUUCACUUAACUUAUGUGGAACCCAAACAUCAAAGCCAUUAACAUAACCAAGCUGGUGCAAAUAAUUUUCAACACUUGAUUUGGAUAUUUUGAGUAUGUCAGCUGUCUCCUGCGUGGUAUAACGUUGAUUGUUCUCAAUUAAUGUCUCGAUUUGGUCACUAUCAACUUCAACUGGUCUACCCAACCAUGGAGCAUCGUCCAGCGAGCAAUCUCCAGCACAAAACUUCACAAACCACUUUUUUUGACACGUUUGAUCUGUCACAGCACAUUCUCCAUACACUGCAUAAUUUUUUUUUCUUUUUUGUGUUUCAGUUGUGUUUUUACCUUGCUUGAAAUAAUAAAGCAUAAUAUGCUGAA